rnacentral:lncRNA from 1 species
CGCGAACGUUAGCAAAGGCUCCGUCAGUACGCAUCCGGUAUAUCGUCGGUACGCCUCGUGCGCCAGUGACCAAUUUCGAAAACCGCCGUCGGUUCGUCUCGCCGCGUCCGCGAAAUAACAAAACGUCCGCCGUGGGAGGUUAAAAAUAAAAACGAAAAAAAAAAAAAAAAAAAUUAUUCACGAUCGUAUUCGUACACGCGUUAUUCGGCGGCGGCGUUCGGUAUCGAUUUUCGUAUAGAUUUUCCCGCGUAAUUCGUGUGCGAUUCGGCUCCGGACCGAAAUUGUUAUAAAACGGUACCGAUACGCGUGUCCACCGCGCACACGUCGAAUACAUUUUAUUGUUUACGUGUUCGGAUCGCCGCGGGAUAUUUCCGAAAAUCGUAAUAAACCUAUAAACGUCAUUAUGUACGACAAAUUGCGCAUAGUGCUGCCGGAGGAGUAAUACUUCUGACUACGAGCGAUACGGGUGAGUGAAACGGCCGCGAAAUCUUUUAGAGACAUUCGUCCCAAUCGUCGUCCCUUAUCUCUAGCCAAUCAUUUUCAAUCGUGUUCGGUCGGGGAGAGUUUUUUUUUCUCUAAAUUUAAAACAAAAUUAUAACCCUUAUGCGCUUAAAAAAAAAAAAAUACGUUUUUACGAUACUUGUAACCGAAUUCAGUUUUUAUUUAAUUUAAAUGAUAUUAUACAAUCCUAAAUCGCCAAAAGAUAUAACGGUUUUAAUAUAUUAUAUUUUAUAACACAACGUGUGUGCAUAUAUUUUUUUUUUAAUACCCUUUACAAUAGAUACGUGUAUAGGGUGAAUAGAAUAAUUUUUGAAAUUAAAAUAAACAGACGUUUUUUGAAUACAGUACAGUAUUGUACAGUCGAAUACACCGGAAUUAAUCGCAAGGGCAGAAACUAAAACGGUAUCAACAUUUUAAUAAGCAAUGUUCAUUACAUGGGAAAAAGUAAUACAAAUUAUAUCGAGAAUUAUAAUGAAUUUUUCAAAAUCGAAUGAUUAGAUAAAAUUAAAUACUGUAGUCGAUACGUCCAAGUUUAUAUUAGGUAUACUAUGGACAUUCGACAAAUACGAGGUUUCUUUCCGAUUAUAAUUACAAGCGAAACCCAAACGACCUCUCACCUAUUUCCGAAAAUAUAGUAUUCUGUUUUCAAAUAAUAAAUAGGUAGUGAAAAUUUCCCCCUUUUCUCCUCGAAAACCGUUUGUCUCGCUCUGCUAUAUUGCAGAUAAAGUUAAUCAUAACGUUUUAGCCACCGAAAAUAAAUAUUAUUUAUUUCCAUCAAUAACUUUUCGUUUUUCUUAAUUUAUUUUUAUUUGGAGGUAUUGUAUUACAUGUAGAUUUUUUUUUCUGAAUCAAACUUUUUUCUCCGUUGACUCGAUUUAGAACCAUUAUGAAAAAAUAUGAAACAAAUAGUCACAAUAGGAACUGCGUUAAGUAUACUCAACAAUUUGAGUGUUAUUAUAUACAAUUUGUUUAGAUUUAAAAACCCGAGGUUCACAUAGAUUAUUAAUGUCUACAAAUAUUUAUAAUAAAUCGCUAAAUUACGUUUAUUAUCUAUUUCGUUUAACAUAAAUUAUUGGGCUGUUAUUAUUUUAUAAUUCGAUUGAAUAUUAUAUAGAGCGGUGAAUAAUAAAAAAAAAAAAAAAAAGGUUUAGAAACCAGGUGUAUUCGUUUCACAUAAUAAACUCCGCCAAUAAAGAUAAUGGAAUAUUAUUACCUAUAUAUAGUUUUAAAUAUUUUUAUUUAACUACGAUAUUGGAAUUCAAAAUUAUAAUUCGAUUACGAUUGUUAUACUUAUACGGUUAGACGUUUUAUAUAAUUUUUUUUGAUUUUUAGAUUAGUAUUAAAACCCCGAAUUGGGAUCAUAAUUAUCGCUAUGAAAUACCGAAAUAUUCUGAAAUAGUAAUCAGAAAACGAAAAUACGUGGCCAAAAUCAUAAAGUAUUUUAAACACUGAUUAGGUAAACCUAUCAAAAAAAAAAAAAUAAAAAUCCACACUUUUUAUAAUAUUUAAAAAUAAUAGUAAAAGCCAAAAUUUCUAUUUUAGUACACUAAAUUUUAAUCUAAUCUGACAAAAUUCCACCACAUUAUUUUCCAUUGUUCAACUCGGAAAUAAUUAUAAAUAUCAAUAAAUAUAUUGAAAAUAAAAUACCAUUAGCUAAAAAUUCUAUAAAUUCUGUAAAUGUUUUUUUUUUUUGAAAACUUGAGUUAGAGUCUUAUAUAGAUAUCGAAUCAUUUCUACUAACCGAAAAUUUGUUUUUCUGGAAAAAAAAAACGCUUAUAGGUUUUUUGUGAUAAUCAGAAUGUAAUCAUGAUAAAAUAUGAUCGUAUUGAUAUGUAAAAUCUAUUCCGAAAUGAUUGGACUCGACGUGUUUUACGUGAAUGAGGGCAAUAAUAAAUAUUCAAUAAAAUAUAUUGUUUGUUUGUAAAAUUAAUAGUUUUUAGUUAUAACACUCAAAACAAAGUGACGAGCUGUUAUAAUUUUUUAUAAAGACUAUUAACGCUAAAAUGAUUCAACAAUAAAUAUAUUAUGAUACAAAGUAAACCGCAUAUAUUUAUAGACGUAAUAUUUGUACACAUUCAACGCGUGUAUUUGUAAACAUAAUAAAACCCAACGGUGAACUACAUCCCAUAUCCCAAAAAUGUAUUAGCUCAAUCGGUAUGAAUUCGCCUUUUUCAAGUUAUUUAAAAUUAAUACGCAUUUUUAAUAUAAACGUUAUAAUUCUCUUGUAACAUAAUAAAAUGUAUUAGAUUUAUAAUAAAGAGAUUAGGUGUUAAUAAUUUGUUUACGAUAGUUCAAUUUAUUAUUGAUUAUUUUGAAUUACCUAAUAUUAUGCAUUUUUUUAGACGACGACGUGUUACUUUCAAAAUUUUUGAUAUUUUCGAUAUUUUUUUCUAUUAUGUGAAUAACAGAACAUUUUUAAAUUUAUUUUUAUUAACAUCUUAUGAUAAAUAAUUCGUUAAAACCCAAAUAAUUGCAAUUUAUUUUGUGGUUAUAAAAUAACAUACAGUUUUCCAUUUAAAUUUGUCGACACACGUUAAACCGAACUGGCUUCGCGGUCGUUUUUCGUUUGUACUGAUUUAUUAUUGUUCACAGACAUACACUAAAUUACCUUAUGUAUAUUAUACGUUUAUAACUUACAAAAAUGACCAACCUAUUAUACAGAGUAUGUCAGCCUUUUUUAAUUUGUCUUAUUAUUAUAAUUUGCCCCGAUAAUAAUUGAUAUUUUCCCUAAAAUUAUGAAGCGUCCCUUACCAUUUUAUAAAACCUCGCCUGUCUGAUAAAAUCUAAUCAACUAUCUCAUAAUCAUUUAAAAACUGAUCACAUAACCGGUCAUCACGUUAGUGAUGUUUUAUAUAAAAUGUGAAUAACAAAAAAAUAAUAAUAAUCAAUUUAAACAAAUCAUUCUAUACGGCUAAUUGGUGAGUCACUUUGUGGAUAUUAAGUUGAGAAGAUGGGAUAUUUAGAAUUACAUAAUUUAUGUAUAUUCUGUGCAACGAUAAAUCAUUGUUAAUGUAACACGACCUUUAACAAUGUUUGUUUGUACAUAUUUUGAAAUGGCGUGAUUUCAAAAUUUUUAAAUGUUUAUAAAUAACACGAAAAUCUCCAGAAUAUUUUGAAUAUUUCUCCACGUACAAAAACUUCGAUAUGAGUAUUAAGUGAAAAUUUCUAUAAUUGUUUGAACUGGUUUUAAAAAAAAAAAAAACAAAAAUAAAAUCGUAAUUGCCGUAAUUUUGUCCGUCGUUUAUAUAUAUUUUUUCUUGUUUUUUUUUUUUUUCAAAUUAUAAAGAAAACUUCAAUGAAAAUUAAAAUCUAUAAAGUAUUCAACAUAUUUAAUAGAUUACAUUUUUUUCAGCAGAUGUGUAACACUUGGAAACCAAAGCAAUAUUUCUGGUAUAAAUACCGUUUACAGACAGAAAAAACAUAUUUUAGUAAAAUUAAUACAUUCAUUGCUGUGUUUAAAAACUGCUUUGACUCUAUUGUUUAAACUCUAUUUUGAAUUUGUUAUACGUAUUAUGUAUAAUUCCUUUUAAGAUAAAAUAAAUAAUAUUCUUCUGCUCAAUACUAUUCUAUUUUUGGUGGCCUUAAUUUCUAUGAUAAAUUGCAACAAUAUUUUUGCUUAAUGCUAAAUAUAAUUUUUAAAUUUGAAUUCAAUGUAUUUACAACUUAAAAGUUUAUUUAUGUAGAGAAUUUUAACCGUUCGACUAUAAUAUCCAUUAAAUUAUACACUUAAUCAUCCACUAAAAAAUUUAAUAGUUUUCUAUUACUAAUUUACUAACUGUAAAUGCGGCUAUAUGCCUAAAAAUCAAUGCACGUUUAUUGAUUAUGUAAAGAAUCAAAAAUUUUAAUUAUUAAACGAUUUUAUUCUUUGUUAAAAAAUGUCCACCAACAGCGUCUAUCAUUUGUUUUCAAACCAACAUUUUAUAUGAAACCUAUACAGUAUAUCAGUAGAGUGUUAUAUACAUUUUCAUAUACAAAUCCCAUCGGCUUUUUAAGUAUAUCUAUUAUUUAUAUGACUAUAUAUAUUUUUUUUUAAAAUACUUUUGUAUACAUAUAACCCAAAGUUAUAUACCCAGUUUUUCGCGUGGCUUUUUUUUAAAACAACGUUAAAAAUUAACAGCGGGGGCUACGUUAUAAGAUUAAAAUCAUAGAAUGAAGUGAUUUUUUACUUUUCUUAGGCUUUUCUUUUCUUUUUUUUUAAAAAAAAAAAAAAAACACUAGCUUGUCCCAUAAAAAAUUAUUCACAAUCCAAAAUUGGUUUAAUUUAACUAUAUCUCCCUCCUUGGCAAAAUCUUCUGCAGCAGUAUAAAAGUACGAUAUGGAUACGAUACUACACGGGGUAUCAUUUCUUACUCAACCGCAGGGUUUCAAAAUUUCGGGAGUAUAUAGAAUAGACAAAAUUGUUUUAUAUAUUAUUAUUUAUUAUAUAAACGACCCGGUGGUGCAUUGAUUAAAGUAUACGUAUAUUAAAUUAAGGCGUGCACAGUACAGCGGGUUUUAUGUGCAAACUACUACCUCCUAUAAUAUACGUUAGGUAGGUAUGCGAUGUAUAGUGUGGUUGAAAAGAAUGUUUUAUUAAACACCCACGAGACGCGCUGUCUGGUAUGAAUUGAAAUUUCAACUGGCAAGGUGAUGCGAGAAGAAAGUGUAUGUGUAUAUACCUACAUAAAGGUUGACGAGUAUAAUGAUGAAUAAUAUGUUUGAUGGAUAUAUACGACGACGCAAAAGGUGUUGAGUGAGGGCUUAUAAUACGAACACGAAAAUGUUAGGGGUAAAUUAACCAGCCGGCUUUUGGUAGGUUGGUAAUGCACAAGUAUAACGGUAAAGUGUCGUAUAUGCGCGAAUAUUUAAAAAGUUAUUAAAUAUUUCAAUUUUAAUAAACCGUACGUUUGUCACGCAUACUUCGUGUAUAAUAAUAUCCAGGUGUCUAUAUAAUGCGGGUGUAAGACAAAAAUACCGAAAAUCUAACAGACAAGCACGCAUACAGCAGAAGGGGGGAUUAAGAGGUUCAGCGCGCCCCAAAAUUUGUUUCUGUAUACGUGACUGCAUGCGGGACGCGGGUACCUGUUUUACGUCAUUAUUUGUGUGGCUUAUAGGCCCUUUUCUGGUGUAUUUGUAUGUUUUUUUAACAUACAAUAGUUUAUCGUGAUUAUAUUAAAAAUUGGGAAAAUAUACAUAAUUUAAAUUCUAAAAUAAAAAUAAAUACAAUGUUUUAAAUAGAUAUUUUUAUGGAAACGGGCCACGGAACAUACGAUAUCAACAAGACAUAUUAAGAAUUAUAGUUUUAUUUCGCAGCAUACCGGAUAUAAUAUACUAUUAUAAACGCAAUUAUUUUAAUGAUUUCAUACAUAAUAAUAUGAAAUAUGUGUUUAUAGUAAUAUAUUUGAAAUUUAAAUUCAAAUUAUGUUCGAUUAUUAAAACGCUAAAAACCAUACAAAUAUAUUAUUGUAAAUACUGUAUUUAACACCAAAUUUAAAUGUCAAAAAUAUUAAUACUGUUGAAUGCAAUCAGAAUAAACAUUAUACAGCGCAGUCGUGAGAAAAUUAACCGCGAUAAUUUAAAAUUAUUGGAAUCUCAGGUUUUAGUGCUUCUAGCUACAGAUUUUAUAUCAUAAUGUUAUUACGUGUGCGUAUUAUUAAGAAAUAAAUUGACAAUACUUAUUAUUAUUAUUAUUAUUAUUAUUUUUAAUCAUUAAAAUCGGUCCGAAUUGAACGUGGUAAACCGUUGAAAUUAUUAUUAGUAAUAUGUCUUCCAAUACAACUAGAGACUUUUUUGUUCUUGUACCUAUGUAUAGAGAUUUUAUGCGCGGGAUACUAAAGUUGUUGUAUAAACUAGUUUAUUUUAUACGUUUUCGCCGCCGUCGCAUUGUUAGGUACGACGGAAAUAUUAUUAUUAUCUUAAUGAUAUAUUUUAACGUUCAAUUACUAUGCAAAUAAAAUACUUAGUUGUAUGUAUAGGUACCUACAUUAUUAUUAAAAUAACUUGCAUUCGCUAUUAUAUGCGCAAUAUACUGCAAACAAACUUUCAAAAAUGCAUCGAGACAGCUAGUGUGUGGUUUUUUUAGGGGGGUAGGAGAGAGGAAUGGAAUUAUUUAUUUUUGAAAUUGGCAUACUACGUUAAAACGGCAAUAAAUAUUAUAUGCACGUAAAAUAUACGAACAACGGAAAUUGUACAGUUGUAGCGGUUUGAAUAAAUAUAAUGUAUACAUAUAUAUAUAUAUAUAUAUAUAUGUGAAAUAAAGUACGGUUUUCACUGCUGGGCGUGUACAUUUCACGCGAGCGUGUAGCGCAGGCUGCCGCUGCAGUAGAUCAGCUAGACGAGAGGAGAGUGUGCCAAAUAGGUGUAAAACCCGACCAUCCUCCGAAAGAGUAGAGCAUAGCACACGCAUAUAACAAGACAAUGACGACGACGACGAGAAAAAUAGGAAACAUACAAAUUACCGUGCACGACUCCCUUAUGCAUAAUCAUUUUAUCAAGUCUAGCGAAAACCAUAGAACAUCGCUUUCAGCCCGGCUCGAUGUUGAUGUUUUACGCGAUUACAUGCCCGAGGUUCAUACACCUAAAGGCUUAUUUAUGCCAGUGUCGUAUACAUAUAGGUAUAUUUAUUUAUAAUAUACAUACCGACUCUGGAAAGGGUGUGGUGAAUAAGUGUUUCGAUGUAUCAAAAUGAUGGAACUGCGUGAGAAACCCAAGACGCGCGUGUGUAUAUAAAUAAUAAAAACGUAUAAAAAGACGGAGGCGGGGAGGUGAUGUGAGUGCGUGUGAACCAGAGACAACGACGACGGCGGCGUUGAAAACGACGACGAAAAAAAAACAACAACAACAAAAACUCGGGAGGAAAAAAGUAAUAAGGAGCAGAGAAAAAGGAGGGGAAAGGCGUGUGCCGAGGGCUCGAUGUAUCGUCGCCUGAUACUUUUCGAGCACUUUAUCAAAUUGCUGACGAAAUUUGUUGUCUACCCUCUCUCGGUUCAGACCUUAUAUACAAUUCACAUACGAAUUUAUGUUCAUUUUUAUCAGCCACUGAAUGCUUUUGUAAUCUAUAUCGAAUCACGAACAAUUUACGACCGCUUUCAGAAUCGUCCGAAAACUUUGCUACGGUAAACUUUAAUGUCGCAACUUUUCCACGUAACGUUUUUUCGUUUUUCCUCCCGACUAGUUACCGCAGAGUUAUAACUACAAAUUUAUUCAAAUCACAAAUUUUCUUUUUGUAUUUUUCUAGAACGAAACCAAUUAUUUUUGUCCCCACUCCUCUCCCCCUUACAUAAUUUAAUCGUUAAAAGUAACCCACCUACGAUUUUCUAUAGUACACUUAUAUACUAUAUUUUAUUAUUUUAUUAUUUCGUAACGACACGAUAACUAAAAUACACCAAAGCUUCUUUUACAAAAAAAAACUUUUGACACGUCGUUAUUAGUUAUUUAUUUAUUAACGAAUUCAUAAAACCGACACUAUAUAACACAAUACAUUAUUGAUAACAGUUUAUUUCUCGGACGGUAUUUUAUCCACCUAAAAAAAUUAUAACACUUAAACAGUAUAUAGGUACUCAUUUUACGGUAAACUGCCAUCGUUAAGAUUGAUUGAUAUAUAAAUAAUUUUUUUUUUUUAUUUGAAACCGUUUACAAAUAUUUACAUAGAACUAAACAGUACCUACAGUAAAUAUUUGCCAUUUACAUUCCGUUAAUGUUAAUUGUACUAUAAAAUAUUAUGACGCCAAUAAUACCAUGAUGGCAUCGAAGGUUUCGUAUCUUGAGUUGUAGAAAUAUGCCUCUACAGUAUUCCACAGAAAUAUACCUAUUGCAAUACCUUAAGAAAUUUUAACUUUUUACGGAAUUUUAGAUUCUUUAGUGUACCAAAGAACGUAUUGGUUUUACAGAAGUUUUUUUUUUCUUAUACUGUGUACAAAUCAAUAUUGCUCCGAAGUAUCAAAAUAGCAUAUUUUUUUAAAGGGACUAAUCAAAAAUUUAAAAGAAGAUUCAUUACAAGGUGUACUUUACAAGAAGUACUAAACAAGAAAAAGUUGAGUUUAAUACGUAGUAUUUUUUUUUUAUAAUAAUUUUAAUAUUAAAUUUUGGUGAAAAUCGUAAUGUUACCAACUGCUUUUUAAAAUGUGUAUAACCGAACUCCGCUCAAAAUCGUUUUUCGUUUACAAAAAUUAAUCGUUGUAGAUAUACAUUCAAUUAUCUUCUAUAUACUACUUUCUCAAAUUCUCACCUACAAUAGUGGUCCGUCAAUCGUGGAAGUAUGUGCGUCUUUUUCUUUUUAAUAUUUACGGAACCUACCUCUAAAAUGUUAUAUCAAUGUUAUUUUUUUUAUUACAUACGUACUUUCAGUGGUGAAACCACUGUAAUAAUGACUAUAACACAACUAUAAUAAUUUGUUCAUAAAAUUUUCAAAUAACAAUCUAUAUUUAAUAUUCAAUAAAAAGAUGACCGUUUUAGUUGAAAUAAAUAUUGGAGUUAAAAUGUUUAUUUUUUGUUAAUCCGUUGACAAAAUAUUUCAUCUAAAAGUUAGGAUAGGGGGAGAUUAGUAGAAAAUAAUUUGCGCGUUAGUUAUCUGUAUUAAACUAUAAGUAUCCGAGUUUGGUUAUUGCGGGUUUUAAUCAGAAAAUUUGCAAAUUAAAUUAGUAGCUAUCGCGCACAAAUUGCACUAUACAAUGCAGGGUAACCAAAAAUAAAACUAACCUAAAACUCACACACUAUCAGUGUAUGAGUAGGAAGGUAAUAAAAUAAAAACAUUGAGGUCAAUUCUUGAAAAAUAGUAACGACAACACAUUUUAAACAGUAGGUGUAUAAUAACUAUAAAUUAUAAUAAUAGACCGGAUAUAGAUUUAAAUCACCCAUAAAAUCACAUAUUAUUUUAGAAUUGUUUUGAGUGAAAUUGCAUUAUUUUAAGCCCUUGGGUAUGUACAUAAGUUUUUUUUUUGUUCGCGAAACACUUAUCUGCCAAUAACCUUUCUCGCACUCAGGUGUGAAUCCUAAAUAAAUGUAUAGAGUUUAUUUUAACUUACUUUUUUUUUUUUUAAUAUUAUUAAAAACUGUUUGUGGAUAUAAUAUAGUUAGUUUUUGUGAUGGAUAGUUUUUCCGGGGGAUAUCGUAUAUUCCUGUUUUAUCCUCUCGAGGACCACCCGGAACAAAAAAAUAUCGCAUCCAUAAUACAUAAUAAUAAAGAUCGAUUUUACUGAUGGUCAAUACACAAUAUUAUAUUUUUUCGGUACCUGCUAUUAUUGUUAGAAAAAAUACGUACACUUUCGAUUAUUAUAUUCUAUAAAAUAUAUUUAUUGCACUAUUUUAAUAUUAAACAUAGUGUCUGCGGUUUCAAUUUUCAUAUUAUAAUAACGACAGUAAAAAAAAAAAAAAAAAACUUUUGACGAGAUUGAAGUAAAAAAUGACGAUACCGGAAAUUAAUAUUUUCCGUACCGAAUACUAAACUUUAUAUAGGUACAUAUAUUAUUAUAUUUUAAUUUUUAUAAACUGUCUGAAAUUACUUCUUCGAAAAAAAAAAUAAAAAUAAUUUGGAAUAUUAUAAUAAAUGCAGGGAAAAUGAUUAUUUCAAAACGAAGUUGCACAUCGGUUGCCCCUACGAAAAAGGUCGUUUCUCGAUUUUGAUCAAUUUAGAGUUAAUUCCAUCGUCUGAUUGAUAAUUUUUUCCUCUAUCACCUACGAAAAAAGCAAUAGUCCAAUAGUUAUAUUCGUCCAAAAAAAAUUAAAUAUAAUUUAUUUUAAUAAUACACUGAAAUUUUGAUUUCUAACGAAAACAAUUGUUACGUUAUUGUAUAGAUACGAAGAACUGACUUAUCACAUAAGCGGCUCCACCCAGAAAAAAUUUCGUAAAUAUAGAUGCAUAAUAUUUUGUUUUUAUUUUUUAAAUGGUGUUUCAUAAAAAACGUUGGAAAUACGAUUUUUUUUUUCAAAAAUUAAAAUUUAAUACGGAGUACAAAAUCCAACGAACUUUUAGGCACAUUUAUGUAAAAAAACAGUGUCAGAAAUUAAUUUCGAUUGUAUAUCAUUAAAUUCGUUCUAAAAAUUGGACAAAAUGAGAUUCACAACCGUUUUCGUUACAGAAGUUGAAAUUUUCGUUUCGAUGUUAGGUACCUAUAAUGUAUAGCGACCACCUUAACUAUACACCUAGCAUUGAUUAGGACGGUCGUGAUCUCCUGACUCAGCGCUAUAUGUUUUAAACCCGGCGACAUUUUGAGACAAUGGGGGUAUUCAAAAUUUGUCGGUAGGCGGUCAUUAUUGCCACCGCAUAAACACACAUCCGAACACAAUGGGUUCCCCCGCAGAACAAUGAAAUCGUUUUGGCCAUUUGAACGCCACCGCGUGCGUGAUAAUAAUAAUAAUAAUAAUAACUAUAAUCGAUAUCUGUAUUAUUAUAAUAAUAUUUUGCCCGUAUACUACCCAACACUAUGGACACAUAGUAUGUACCUAUAUAUAGUUUUAUAUUGUGCUACAAUAACUUCUACAGCAGUGACGCAUAUAAGGGGGUGAGUAUAUAGAAUAUAGUAAGCUAUAGCACCCCUCCCCCCUCCUAAUUUAACUUUUCUUUCUCGAUUGAGAAAUUUUACGCCAAAUAAAUGUAUCAGUCACCGGACUUUGUAGUCCACGAUCAAAUAAUAAACAGGCGUAGUCGCUGGAUAGGAAAUUAUCAUCCCAGGCUUGAAAGACAAAUUAUUUAUCGUGGUAUUAUUAUAUCGUAUUAUUCGAACUGUUUCUGCCGAUUCUGAGGAAAAUGGAUUAGCGGUCACGCUUGCUUAUUUAGUCACGGUUCUGUCAAUUUAUUUUGGAUUUCAUAUUGAACUAUAAUUAUUGAUAAUAAUAAUGGUUUCGCAGUACCUGUUAUUAGUGGAAAUUUGCAGAUCAGUUUUUGACCUCUCAUCAAUUCCUACAAACAGUCUCGAUAAACGCGUAUUACAAAAUCAACAAAUGGCACCAGUGGGCAGUAAUCUGUUUUCGAUUUAUAUUUAUACACGUAUACUACACGUGUGCUUCAUUGUGUUUUCAAUAUUUUUGUAAUGAUUGAUUAUCAACAACGUAGACUACCUACUCUUUCUACACGGGCCUUUCUAUAAAAUUGUAUUUUACCAGGGACAUCUUGCUCCCCUUAAUUAUUAAAAAUACUAUAUUCAUUGCAGCCUCUCUCCCAAAAAAUAUUACAUAUCUAGAGUCUAUAUAGUGAUUUUUAUAUCGUGAACCUACAGCGUUUAUCAGGUUGCACUCGUACAAAGUUUUUAAAUAAAUUAGAUUUCGGUAUUUUUUAGCCGUUUUAAUAUGAGUGUUUAUUCGUAUAGAAUCGUUUAAUAAUAUUAUAUGUUCUUUAUUUUACAAUAAUUUAAAAAGGUUAUCUUUAUAUUCCAUAUAAUACAAACUUGAAUAUCAACUGCCGGUUUUCGAAUAGAAACCGUUGCUUUUAUGCUCCGACCCAAAAAGAGAUUAUUUUACUACACAAAUGUUGAUAUACGUUUAUGAGUAAUACCAGUUUUGAAUAUAUAGGCACCAGAGUUAUCUAAACACGGGUAUGAAAUUUACCCGACUCGCACUUUAUCCGGAUUAAAAAAUUAAAAUAAAAUAAAACAGUGUUGUGUAAAAAUAAUUAUUCAGAAGUACAUAAAUUUUCGUAUUUUCUACGUUGAAAAAAAGCCGUUUGGAUAUAUUAUAUAUAUUACAAAUGUAUCUAUUAUUUACUAUUAAACAAACAAUUGAAAUCGUAUUUAUUAUCCGGAUGAAAUAACAGAAAAUAGUUAUCCAAAUAAUUCUCAGCACUAUAACAAUAUUUAAUUUCUGUUAAUAAAUUGAUUGGUUUUUGUUUUGUUUUGGGUUUUUUUUCUGCACAAUACUCAUUUUUUAUUUAUUUUUUUCAUGACGGGCGCUUAACGAAAUAAAAAAAAAAUAUAUAAAUUGCUAUUGGUCCGCUCGAUAAAUACGUCAUCGUCGGCAAUAAAUCAAUUACUAUCAUUAUUAUUAUUAUUAAUGAAGUAACGGAGCGAUAAUCGAGAAUUUAUUGCGAAAUUUUACACUUAUUGCGUAAUAACAUUACCCCGACGAUGAUGUAAAACAGAAGUAACCGAUAUUAUUAUUAUUGUUAUUAUUUUUAAAAUGUAUAUAGGUAGUUUAUUUCACGUGUUUUUAUUGGAGAUACAAAAAACUCAAUGGUAUAAUGAAGAUGAACAUACCGGGGGCAGAAAAAAAAAAUAAUCGAAUUAUCAUUGAAUUUAUGCAUUACUUUAUUAAUGUAUAAGAUCCUUCAGCGUUUAUAAAAAAAUAUUUUGAAAUAAUAAUCUCAUCAUUAUUUUUUCUCCUCCUUCUGAUAUUGAUCUCUGAGCAUAAAAAGAAAAUGCUAUUUAAAUAUAGGUACCUAUAUUACAAUGCUCGUGGGUAGUAGAAAAGUGAACAAUUUUAGUAUAUUUGAAUGAAAACUCUCAACUCGUCCUCUUUGAAUUAUAAUAAAUAAAGUUCUAGGUAAUAUAUAAUUCACUAACCUAUUAAUACCUAAUCACGUCAGCAAAAUAAUGAAUUAUUUUAGAUUUAUAGAUACUAUAUAAAUCAUUUUUUUUUUUUACAUUUUCGAUUAUGAUGACAGUUUUAUUCUUAGUGGUUUGCAGCAAUAAAAAUUGUGUCCUAUAAUAUCGUAUAAGUAAUGAAUACGACAACGGCGGUGUAUGGGACGGGUGUGUUUUAAAGGUACAUAUUUACGUAUUAUUUAAUUUUUGAUAGUUAACAAAUAAAACACCCGCGCGCAGCUAAAUUCCGUCAUUGGGCUCGAAUUUUCUCCCAGCCAACCUAUCACCGUUAAAAUAUUUAAUUUUCUUUCAAAUUCAGAGCGAAGAGAGGAAUCUGUUAGUUUUACAAUGAGAUAUGCUUAUUUUUCUAUCUGUAAACAACUUUUCGAACUAUUAUUCCAAUCGAAAAAUGACAAGAGAUUUUGUUUAUUGAAUUUUAGUUCUCGUUGGUACAUUAAAUAAGUUUUUUUUUUUUUGAUUUUCCAAGGGGUUUUUCAAAAUAAUUGAGAAAAAUUAGAAACAAUAUUAUUAGAAAAACGGUAAACAUUUACGGUAUUCCGCGGCGUCAACCACUCAUUGUUUUUAAUUUUUACACGCUAUGUUUUCUAUCAGAAAUAUUCCUUUAACCGAUGAAUUCCAAGAGGUGUUUUUUGUUAAAGUCAUUUUUGGAUUUUUCAAAUCGUUUUUGUAAUAAAUGAGCAAAACUGAAAAACCUUAGAAAAUUUACGAAAAUAAUGGAAAACUUGACUUUUGCUUGACUUUUUAAGACAAAAUCAAAUUUACAAUGAUGAUGAUUUCAGUUAUUUAUAAGUAUUUUACAUUACCUAACUUGUUUUUAUUUUAGUAUGUACCAUGCGGAUAAAAUUGUUUAACCGAAGAGAAAUGCUUGGAAAUUUAAUUUGGUGUUCAUUAAAGGUCGUACGUGGUAAAAAAAGUUAAGUGUAAUAUCUUAUAUAUAUGUACAUAAAACUCACGCGUGCGACGAGUUUAAGUGCGAUGCACUCUGAAACUACUCAACCGAUUUUGAUAAGAUAAUGCUCAAUGCGUGUGGUUUGAUCCAACUUAAUGGAUAGGAUAGUUUUCGUUUCAAUUAAUGACUUUAUAAUUUUUUUUUUGCAAAUUAAAUGUUUAUUAUAGUUCAAAGGACAAUUAUUUGUAAGUUUCAUAAAAAUCCCCAAAGAUGACGUUGUUAGUUACGCUGGGCAUCGCAAAGAGAGAUAGUGCGUCUUUGAUUACGUCUGAUACGUUGUGAUUGAAAUUUGAAAGCAGAUUUUAUUACAAACUAUACUCAAAUAUGAGAGGAAUAAAAUGUAAAAUUAUACAUUUUAUGUUGAUUUAUGCUUGGAUUCAACUCUCGGGAACCCUUUACUAAUCAUUUUCAAAUUUUUACGUAAUAUUCCAUUCUCAAUCUGUUGAAUUAUAUAAGGGUUUUAGGUAUUUUUGAAACGAAUUUCUAAUUGUUUAUAUAAAUUUACUUAUUUAUUUUUGUUUAUCAUUAUUUGUCUACUAUUAUUAAUAUUAUGUACACUGUUAACUAGCAUUGUAAGCUAUUAUACAUUUUCUAUACAAAUAAAAUAACAUGUCUUGAUUGACUUAUUCAUCAUCGCCUAGCCCAAACCACUGGACGGAUCGGGCUGAAAUUUGACACACAGAAAGCUAUUAUGACAUAGGCAUCCGUUAAGAAAGGAUUUUUGAAAAUUAAACUCAUAUGGGGGGAAAAUUUUAGGGUUUUAGGUUUAUUUGGUACGAAUAUCUCAUUGUUUUUUAAUUAUGUUUGUUUAUUCAAAUAAUGAUAAUUUGGUUGUCACGAAAAAGAAAACUAAUAAUUAUUCUUAUUACUAAUAUUUAAACUAUUAAAAUUUCACAAUGGAACACAUUUAGUUCGCCGAAGUUGGACUACUUACUUUCCGCCUAUUUAUUUGCAUUAAAUUUUGAAAUGAAUACUGGUAAAAUAAUAAUAUUACAAAUUGGUACGGGCAACGAUGGACGCGGGGCAUCUAGUAUAUUAUAAAAUAACCUGACUUUAUUGACUGAUUUAUCUUCGCUUAACCCAAAUCACUAGACGGAUCGAACUGAAAUUUGGCAUACAGACAGCUAUUGUGAUGUAGACAUCCGUUAAGAAAAGAUUUUUAAAAUUCAACCAUAAACAAGGGGUUUUUGGGUAUAUUUGGGACAAACAUCUAAUUAAUUAUUUAUUUAUUUUUGUUUAACCAUGGUUUAUCUUGGUGACACGUAUAAAAUAACAAAAAAAUUGUUCCUGGUAGUGCCGAAUGGGACAGCCAGUAGAAGUUUAUCGUAAAUAUUAGGAUUUCCAAAUUAUUUAUAAACGAACUUCACUCAGAAUCAUUUUUUGUUGACGCUGUUUUAUCUUUGCUCACGAAUAUAAAUGUAAUGAUUAUAUACAUCAUAAUUUCCCAAUUUCCCACCUAUAACAGUAGUGCACCAGCAUUAGUAGUAUCAACUUUUUUCGGAGUUUAAUUACAUUGUGGUCUGUAUUUUGGGUAUUUAAAAUUCGGUAUUUACUGUGCAAAAAUGAAAUUUGAGAAUACAAAUGGUUUGGAACAGGGUUUUAAGUUGAAACUGUCUGAUUGGUACAUCCUUGAUACUAUACAUUGUACUACGCAUAUACAAAAUUUCAUCCUCCUAGUAUUAUUUAGUGAUUUUUAAGGGGUGUACAAAUGUACAUGAUAAAAUUCAACCGAAAUUUUAUUACCCCCUAUGAAUCAACUGGAAUUUCGGGUUUGAGUUCAUUUGGUGCAGAUGUGAUGCUGAAGUGUUCAAAAAUAGCCAGAAGUACAUAAAUAUUAAAUAACAGGUAUAAUAAAGUGUAAUGUAAUGUAUAUAUUCUAUCAAGAAUGUUUAAAUACAAUAAACGUUCGUCCACUAUUAACUAUUAUUAUUAAAGCUAUGGAAUUUUAGUUCGAUUAUAAUUUAAAUAUGGCAGUAUUUUAAAAAAUAAGAAACAUUUUUUUUUUAAAAUUAAAUAGUUUUUAACGAAACCCUAUUUUUUUAUUUUUUUUUUUUUUCACUCACAAAUCAAUUCAAAAACGUAAAAACUGUAAUUUAUUAGUGUAAACAAUUUAGUGUAAUAGGUAUACUUCCAUAAAUACCUACUUAUCUGGAUAAAUUAGACUAUAUUUAGGAUAAUAUAUUUCAAUCAAUUAAAACUGAAUAGGUAUUUAUAUUAAUUUGAUUAUUAAUAAUCAUGAAUAAUUUAUUAUCUAGUUUUUUCGUAAUGUUUCGAGUUAAUAUAACGAUUAAUAUUUUCACAUCCGAUAAUAUUCGAACUGAACAAUUUCUAGUCUUAUCGGACAUUCCAUCACUAUACCGCCCGCGUAUUCCGCGGCUGCACUUUUAAUUAAUUCCAUUAAAAUACCGUACAACCAUUUACGUUAUAUGGACAUGAAGUCUUUAAUGUCGUCAAAAUGAAAUUCCUAACUCAUCAUGUUCGUCGUAUAAUAAUAAUACGAAAUUACAUUCUGGAUCAUUUUACGAUCCAGAAUGUAAUUCCGUAGACCCUAGAUAAUAAUAGGCAUAUUGUAAGAAUCGCGAGUCAAUUAUUCUUUCAACGUGCUAACAAUUACAAUAAUAAUCAUAUUAUGAUGUAGGUAAAACAUGUCUACCAAUAUACAUUUUUUUAUUGUUUUAUUUUACUAUUUUUUUUUUUCAAUAUAGCGUUUGUAAGUAGGCAAAUACAGUAAAAACGAACAAAGAUUCAAAACAGAGUAUAUCGGUUAACCAUUUUUAGAUAAACUUUAAUUAAAAAUAUUAUAUCAAUUAAUAACAACAAAAUUAAUGAUAAUUUUUUGGCUUUUUAACGGAUUGCAUUUAAAAUAUGAAUUAAAAAUGUUUAUACAAAUAAAUUAUCACAUAACGCCUAAACUUUUUGUUUGGCCACUCAGUACAACUUACGAUGAACGUUGUGCCAAAUGUUCGACCAUUUUUACUGGACCAAAACGGUUUUGUAUCCAUAAAAAAAACAAAAACUCGAACAUUAUAUAUACCUAUAAAUUACUCAAAAAACAGUGAGAAUAUUUUGAACAUCGUACGUAUGCAACGUUUAAAAAUGUGAUUAUAUAAUUAAAUAUUUUGUGAAAAUUUCAAGUAUCUGCAAUUUUUUUUCUCCUGAGUCCAUAUAGUAGUAUAAUAUUACAAACCGUUAGUAUUUAAUUUCUCAACGGUUUUUCUCGAUUUUUUUGAUUUGCUCAAUUAAUUAAAGUCUAUGAGAAAUCUUUAAAAUGACAUCUUAAAUACACUAAAUAAACAAAUUUCGCUACCAAAAACCACCCCUAGAACUAUUUUUUUGAUUAAAAUUUCUAGUCGAAAAAUUGUUUACAAACAGAAAAAAAUACGUAUAUAGGAAAACAUUUAUGACAUUUAUCUCUUUGAAAAAAAACAUCAUAAUUCGAUAUUUAAAAUCCCUCCCUGCCGAAAUUUGUUCCUAUGUUUACGGGCCUAGUGACUGGUAUACAUAAUACAUCGCUUUGCUCAGAAUCUGAAAACAGUAUAGGUAUAUCAUAAUAAUACUAUAAACUCUUGUAUUUCACAAUCACCGAAAGUAUUAUAAUAUUAUUAAAACAUCAGAACUACAAGCACUCCCAUUGAAAGUAUUUGUUGAUAAUUGUUUCAUGUUUAAUGUUCAUGUUACAUUAUAAUGAUGGGGUUUAAUUUCAUAUUUCAUUGAUUAACUAAGUAGUACAUUAUUUUUCAUGUAAUUAUGGAAAACGCCAGACAGACGUGCAAAUUUCGGUUCGGUUAUUUGAACCCUAAAUCUCCCCCCUCCCCCUCGUUGAUACGUUUUGGUUGCAACAUUACAACAAUUCCAAAUAUCACAAUGACAUUUAAGUUUUUAGUUUUUAUAAUAUGACUGUAUCAUAUUAUUAUAGUACUACAGUAAUAAUUUAUUGUUUUAAUAAUGGAAUAACAAUAAUAUAAUAAUAAUAACAUGGUGUUAUAAUAUGCUCUAUGAAAAAAUGCGGUAUAAAAUUACUGAAACACAUAAUACUUUGUAUUUAUCUAAUAACAAUUAAUGCACGUACACCCAGUUAUACAUUUUAAAAAAAUAAUUAUAUGACGCGAAUAUUUUAUAUUUUUUUAUUUUUUUUUUAUUUUCGCAUUUAUAUUAUGAAAAUAUAUUUUGCUGUGCGGUAAGUAUAUAGAUUAUGCGGUAUUGUUAUUUUCUUUGAUCGAAACUAAUGAGCACAUCGUACAAAGCGAUUCGUUAAAAGAAAAACCUAUUGUUCAUACUUAUAUACCUCUAGUAAUUGCCGGUAGGUUAGGUAUCUACCUGCAUAGUAUCUAUUGUAGAAGCAGAUGUAAAAAUAAAAAAUUCCAAUUUGUCCGAUUAUGUUAUUCUUACCGGAGUGGAAGACAAACUUUAUUUCUCAUCGUCGUCAGAUUCUCUUUGACGGAAAAUAAUACGCAUUCUCAAGAAAUUCUCGUUUUCGUUAAAUUAAUGUACAGAGCUACCAAACGGGUGGUGUGGUUUUGUUUUUAAUAUUCGUAUUAGUUAUUACUAUUCCAAUCUAAUAUACGAAAAAAAAUAUGUUCAAAAAAUAUAAACUAGUCCCCGGGGUAUCAAAAUAUAAUAAAACUCAUUAAUUUAUUAACUAUAAAUGUAACAAAACAUUACAGUAAUAUUGCAAAAUGUAUACUGCAACUCUCUACACAUACAUUUAUAAUAUCUAUUUUUGCUUUUAAUACCUGAAAAAUAAAUAUUUCGUCAAAUUCCAAUAAUCGUGUGCAAUUUUUAUUUUUCAAAUGAAAGCCUAAAGAAAACAUUAUGUACACGGAUAAAUUAAAUAUUCAAUUCUUCUUUUCCUAACCGAAGAAGUGAUUUGCUCUCUAUAAUGUUUCGAUUUGCUUAUGCACGACUCAUGCUACUAUAAUCGAAUUUGUAUAGUAUUCGAAAUUCUCAUCGUUUAAUAAUUGAUAUUUUUUUUUUAAAUUUAUUAACAAAACAAAAUCAUACAUUUCUAAUAUUAUUGUUGUUCGUUUACAUCCGAUAGUCCGUUUAUAAUAUUUUGAGAGCAGCGAGGGAUGUGUUGGUUUUAAUGUGAUGUGUUUUAUUUUGUCUGUUAACAAUUCAAAUUUUGAAUCAUUUUUUAAUGAAACAUUUGUGUGGUAAUUUUAUGAUUUAUGUGUAGGUAACUAAAUGAUUAGAAAAAGCCAUAGGGAAACUGGGAAUGUUUUCGGCAUCAAUCGUUUUAUUAUUUUAGAUUUAAUUGUUUGUUAUAAUUUUAUUAAAAAUAUAAUUGUAUAGACGCGAAAUGUGUGCAGAAAACUAAUUAUGACUUUUUUCUAGAGGUGGUAAAAUUUUCAAAACAUUCUGGCGAUUUUUUUAAUUACUUACAGACAUUUGUCAUUUUCGGUUUUUUAAAAAUUAUAAUUUGAUUUUGUGUGGAUAAAAUCGUUUGUCUGAGCAGACAUAUUUAAUAACUAAACUUGAAGUUUUUAUAUACUUUAUGGUGAAAAAAAAAGUUGAGCGUAAUAUAAUUGUUUUUUAUGAGCAUUUUUAAGUUCAAAUUUUGACGAAGGUCAAGAGUAUAUUUUACAGAACUUUGUUCAGAUUCAAAUUUUGUUAGCAAUUGUUUAUCACUGUGUACAGAUAUAAAUUAAAUAAUUUUGUAUUUUCUACUUUCCAAAAUGUCCACCUCCAUCAGUGGUUUAUUCAGUAUCAGCUCUUUUUAUUUUUGGAAUUGUUUAUUGACAAUGGUUUAGGGUAAUCUGAGAGUUCAAAUUCAACAUUAUUUGCAUUGAUCCACGAUUUUCUAUUCGGUAUACGUCGGCAGACUCAUAUAUUGCAAUAAUAUUGUAUAGACAUUUAUCUUAACGAAAUUUACAAAAUAAACAAUAUUAAUUCGUUUCCCCCGAUGUCAGGUCGAUUUCAAACCGAAGAAUUGUACAUUUUGAAUUUUUAACAAAACCGAGUAAUAGUACCGAAUACAACACGAUGUGUAAUUUACGAAUAUAUAUGCUGCUCAAUAGGUAUCUAUCAUAAUAAUAUAAUAAUCAGUGGUGUAGCAAGGAUUUAUCUUUGGGCGUGGUAAUGGGGUCUAAAGGGAUUAAGGAGUCUACAGACCUCUUAACCUUACCAAUAGCUAAAAAAGGCAAUUUAUGGGGGUAAAACACUCGGCUACGCCACUGAUAAUAGUAUAAAAUCAAAUCAAAUAUAUUGUAUAGGUAUUUAUAGAUCGAUAUCAUCAUAAUACUUACUCGUCCUACUUGUGUUUUCGAAUCCGUUUAACCCUCAUAAUUUUAGAAAUGGUUAGAGACGUUUGUUUACUUAUAAGUAUAUUUACUAAUUCGGUUUUGAAUUUAUUGCGUAUUUUAUAUGCGUUAAUAAAUUAUUAAUAAUCUCUGCAAGUAUAUAUAGAAGAAUAAUUAUUAUUUAGACGGUUGGCACAAUAUUUGCGUUCAAGUGUCUUAAGCUCAACGUCGUCUUAUUUUGUGUUGUUUACUGACCAGUGGUAAUAAUGUAUUAUACGCAAACGUCUUAUAGAAAUAUUAUGGUCACGGUGUAAAUAUUUGCAGUGCAUCUAGUUUAAAGCAAACAUAGAUACCGGACAUUUCGUUGUUUGUAUCGGAAAAUAGGCAGUCAGUUUUACGAUCUUAAGUCCACAAGAACACGGUACCGUUGCAGCAGUAUAAGUGUAAAGGAAUAAUUUUGUAGAAAAGCUAAAGAAACUGCUGAAAUCUCGAAUUUUCGCUGAUAAUAACAAAAAAUAUAAGAGAAAUAUCGUACUUUAGUAUUUAUUCAAGACGGAAAUUAUUACUUUUAUAAUUAGUAGUAAUUGUGAUGUAAAUACUCAUGUUAUGGUGACAUCGGUUUAGACAUAAUUACAAAUUCCUACUGAACAAUAUUAUCGUAACCACUAAAAUUAAAACUGUAUGUCCGAUUAUUACAUUCGGUACCUUUGUCAUACAAUGCAAAACUACAUAUAAAAGUAGCCAAUCGAAUGGAAACCGUAGGGGAAAAUAUCCAAAUGAUCGAAGACCAAUAAAGCGAUGGAUAUAUAAGACAAGAAAGGAUUUAAAUACACUGGAAAAUAAAAUCUAGGACCGGUGUAACCGAUGAAAAUUAACCUCUUAGUUAUUUACCCUCUCUGGUAAAAUUUAAAAGAUUAAGAUAAAGUUCAGUUUAAUUCCCACUUGAGACAGUAAUAAAUAUUCAAUAGUGAAAGUUAACCGUGGGGAAGGAAAUUAAUUUAAACAUUACUUUAAUAGGUUUUUUUAGAUUUAAGUUUUUUUUUAUAAUUUAUCUGAUAAUUCAAUCACACAACCAAAUAACAGGAUAAUAUUAUGAAUAGGCAAUUGGUGGUAAUUUUGAGAUUGGUAUUUUAUAGAAUCAUUGACUUUAUUUAAAAAUGCCUACUCGUAAACGAGAUCUUCACAUAGUUAAUACUCUUUCAAACAAUUUUGUCGAUUGGCGUUUAGUGUUUAAUAUUUCGUACGCAUUUAAACGUUUUGAAUUAAGUUUUUAACGGUACGAACGCUUUCAGAAUAUAAAUCAGAAAUGUUUUUUUCAUAUUUGUUUAUGAUUGAAAACAAAGUUAACAUUCGUCUAAUAAAUAAUUUUAAAUUGGUUGUUUUUAAAGAAUAAAACAUUAUAAUGCAAUACAUAACUAAGAUUAUAAAUUUCUAAUUUAAAACUGUACUUAUCACACUAAAAAUUAUAAAAUUCAACAUAUUAACUAAUAAAAAAAAAAAAUUAUUUUCGUUUAGUUCUAAACAAGGAAUUUUUUUCAUUACAAUAAACACGAUAAAACUGUUAUUAUUUGGAUUUUUGAUUAUGUUUUAAUUGUUAUUUUAGAUUCUGAGCGAAGCAAGGAAUGAAUUGUUUUGUCGUUGUUUUUACUGCAAUUGUUAUAUUAACUAUCAAUGGAAAUUUAUUAGUUUUAUACUAUAAUUAAGUAGGUGUAUACUUAUUUAAUAAUAAUAAUAAUAAUAAUAAUUUUUUUAAACAUAUUAAUUUCCUCUUAGUUCCCAGAGAUCUGUUAAAACUAUCGAAAAAAGGUGAAAAUAUGCUGUGUAAUAUACAUCGAAUAUUUUGAGUCAAAUAUAUUAAGUAGGUAUAAUGUUUAUUAGUAAGUACUUGCUUAUUAUUUUUUUUCCCGAUUAGCAAAAUAAUAUUUUCAGCAUUUUAGUAGCAACGUACUGCGGUUUCAUUGUAUUAUUUAGGUAAUAAUUAAGUAUAAUACCGAGCAAAAUUACUUGAAAAUAGCGUAAUGUAGUAGUAUGUUUUAGAUUCUAAACAAAGUAAGAAAUUUAUUGAUUUUACAUUGAUUUUUAUAAUUUUUCAUUAAAAUAUUCAUAGGGACUUAAAAUUUAAACAGAUAACACUUAUAUUUUCCUAUUCUAGACAAGGUUAAACUUUCCAGAUAUUUUAGCUAUUUAUAGACAUUUUAAUUUUGUGAGUUUUUUUUAUGUAAUUAUUCUUCUGUAGGUACUUUAUGGAGAAAAUAGUUAAACUAAACAGAAACGCUUGGACAUUUAACAGCAGUCGUAAUAAUAAGCUGUAGGUACUUAACGGUAAAAAAAAAAUUGAGUAUAAUGUAGAAUUUUUUUUAUAAAAGUUUUAAUACUAAAUUUUAAUAAUAAUCGUAAAAAUCAUGGCACUUCAAAAUAUGUUUAACCGAACUUUACUCUUAACCGUACUUUGUCAUCAAUGAUUUAUUGUUACGUACAGAUAAAAAUUAAAUAACUUUAUCUAUCCUACUUUUCUAACUUCGUUCCAAUAACAAUGGUUCGUCCAUCAGCAGUAUCAGCUCUUUUUUUACAAUAUUUUAGAGAAAUUUGAUUUAACAUUUUGUUCAAAGUCGUCCUUUGUAUUAUUGUUUUUCGUUGUUUACUUCUUGAUUAGUUAACGAGUUUUACUAUUGUUAUGAGCGAUGUACAUUUAUUUAUCACAAGUCUUUGGGAUUUUUGUUUUAUAAACAAUAUUGUCUUCAGCGUUACCCUUUUUGUUUUUAUUUAUUUUUCACUUUUACUUUUCUUCAAAAUCACGGCGAAUUUGUUUUUUACAUUCACUUAGUUGUUUUGUGUUCGACAUUGACGUACAAUUUAUGGAAUAAAUAAACAUUAACAAUUGCCACAACUCACGCAGAACGUAGAUACCUACAACAAGUUUAUAACGUUAAACAAUCGACAAUGUUGUUUAAUUUUUUUUUUAACCUUCAUUUUUUAAAUAUCUUCUUUUAAAUCGAUACCUACCCAAAGUGUAACAUUUAGUAUUUUUAACGUUGUCACCCUCAAACAAAGGUGAGUAUUACGUUUACCAAUGGUUUACUCGUAACCAUAGUAGGUAUACGUUUGUUAAACAUAGAUGUGUAGUUUCUAUUAUUCUUUGAAUAGAUUUAUAAUAUCCCUGAUUAAAAUAUAUUUUAUAAAUAUUAAAUAUAUUAAGAAGAAAAAAAACUAGAAUAGAUUUAUAGAAUUCGAUCUGCCUACACACACACACACACACUCACACACACAUUAUCCUAACGCCUAAACUCUACCCACUACGUUAACAUAUAUAUUAACUAUAACGAUUCACAGAGUAUUUAAAUUUUGACGAUAUAAUAGAACUAAAAUUAGCGUUAUCUGGAACAUUAAUUUUCAGGAGGGAAGGAAAUCCCUCGAAAAUUAUUUUCAUUUUAUGUUUAUUAUAUUUGUGGUAUCUGUAGUUUUGUCAUCAAGUAUUUAAAUUUAACAGUAACACAAUAUGAAUUGAAAAUCAUUUUUACUAUUUUCUACGUUUUCUAGUGUGCGGGUACUACAAUCUGUGGCAAUCGGUGUAAAGUUAAUAAAAAAAAAAAAAAUUUUUAAAAAUAUUAUAGUUUUUAGUGGAAUAUUCAUCGAAGAUUUUUGUAGAGCGAUUAAUGAUAUAGUAAGUGUUACGAGAGUUAAUGUACCCUUAAUGUAAAACCAUAAAUGAACUAAAUAUAUUUUUGAAGCAGGUUAGGGACAACACCUAACGUUCUGUAUAUAGGAAUUAAAAAACAAGCCUCACUUGGGAUGCUCAUGUAACCUAAUGAAACUAUACACUCAUCCAUUUUAUAUGAUCUUAGAUAAUAAACAUACAACAUGUGCUUGAGCUAUACAUUCUAAAAUAAACUAGUAUUUUUAUUAGUAAUUAGUAUAAGGUCUAUAGUGACAGCUCACUGACAAUAAACUAGUGUUAUCAGAAUUUUAAUUUAUGACAACGAUUAGAAUCAUUAUCAUAUUAUUGUAUUAUAUUGUGAUUAUCAUUAUAAUGGUAUUUACAAUAUUCAUUUAUUACCCGUUUAUUCAACCCAUAUUUUAAAGCGGCUAUACAUUAUACAACGUUGAAUAACCGUUUAAUAAAUAACGUAUAUCCAGUUUAAUUAUAAACUAAAAGUGUACAGUUUAAAAAGCGUGGAUUUCAUGUCAAGUAAACCUGCAAACGUAAAUAUCGUUAGAAUUUACUAUGGAUUUAGAGUUUAUAAAUGUAUAUUAUAAUCCAGAGUUUUCUUGUAUUUUAAUUUUUGUAUCUACGUUUGAUUCGUUUUUUUUUUUUUUAUGCGUAUUUAUUAAUACCUACGUAAGUAAAACGUGUUUAAUAGUGGGUUGAUUUAGAUUAUAAUCUUUAACAAAUUAAAAAACAAUCAACUAUAUAAUUUUAAAAUCGAAUGACGUUUAUUUCGCAAAAGUUAUAUGAAUUCGGUUUUAUAGUAGGUACCGUUACUUCUCAUUUAUGUUCCCUUUCAAACACAAAACUAAAUAAUUUAUUUGAUUGCUUCUUUACUACCUACUCAACUUUCAUUUAAAAUUCAGGCAAUUAUUUAUUUAUUAUGAAGCAUUUUCUACUAUAUUAUGAUAUUGUUUUUUAAUCGCCAAAACUCGAUUUCAGAUAAAAUACACUUUGUUUUGCACGUUUAAAAUGUAAGUAAAUACUUAAAUUUUUUUUGAUAAACUACUUGGUAUGUAACAAUUUUUAGGCUGUUAAAUUUGAGUGUGUGGUGUUUAUAUUUUGGUAUUUAACCGCGUUCAAUAAAAUUUAAAUUACGUUUAAACAAAAUAAUAUAGGCACCUGUCGGCAUAUUAUUACUAUCGUGGAAUAUUUUUCCUAAUAGAAAUAUAUGGUGUACGAUGUUAUAUAGAGAAGUCGUACUUAUAUAUGUAUAUAUUAACAUAUAUUCAGUGUGGAAUAAUACUUGGUUUUGAGUAUGAUGAGCGCUCUUCUAACUAAUUCAAAUAUUCCUGCCACGUGAUAAAAUUAAAAGUAUUCCGCAAUAUAAUAUAGUAAAAUUGAAAAAAACACCGCGGGUAGUUAAAUUAAGUCAAAGAUUUGUAGGUAUAUAGGUAUAUUAAUUGUAUUUUGAAAUAUUAUCACUUAUAGGAUAUUAUUGCUACAUGCGUAUAUUUUAAUGGAUAUACAAUAAUAACAGCAAUAGGUAAACAUUACGUUAGCUGAAUUUAUAUACAGGGUGAAAAUAAAAUAUUACGGUCUCCUGUAUGAUGAUAUGGAUGUAUGCUCGAUCCGCUACGUUUACAAUUAAUUCGAUCGUUUCUGUUGUCACCGGGCAGGUAUUAAUUAUAAACGUAAAAUAUUAUGACAGUGCAUUCAAUACAAAAACAGAAUGCAUUUUUAACGCAAAAUAUAUGCAUGGGACAGUGACAAAAAUAAAUUAGAUUUUUUUUCAAGCAGAAAUUAUGUGUUUGUUUUAUGAACACAGCAGAUCCAUUAGACAAUAUAUGUUCAUAAUAUUUUGUUUUCAUACAUUUAUUAAUAAAGAAUCUACAGAAACUCUAAAGUUUACAGUUUCGGCCAAUGUAUGGUAACUGUUAAUUUUUCUUCUCCAACUAUUCUUGUUCUGAACGAUAAAAUGACAGGGACAUCCGUGUAAAUUUCACUUUACGCAUUUUUAAAAUAAAGAUAACAUAAAUAACUGUCGUGUUUCUUUAAUUUAUUUGUUCAAUCCUAACUUUGGUCAUCAACAUUUGUCUAUUUUCGAAAUAACAUAUUUUCCUCUCACUCCUCGGACAUUUUUGUGAAUAUUUCCCUGUUAAAAUGCACAAUGAAUAUUUUGCGAAUCGUUUCAAUAACCUAUAUUUUUAUCAUACUAUAAUAAAUUGUUGACGCGUUAUUGGUAGUUUUUUUUUAUGUACUGAAAUCACAAUAGAACGGUUAGGUCAGGUUUACCUAACAUCGAUUUACACAUAAAUCAUAAUAUUAUUAUUAUACACCCAGUAGAAUAGCAUACACGUAGGUAUUACAAUACGUAUUGAUACUCGUUCGUUUUGAACGCAUUAUAAUAAUAUUUUCAUAGAAGAUGCCAUUAGUCUGUCUGCCCAUUUUUCGUCAAUGAAAUGUAAACCUUAUGGAAUACGCGUAUAAUAAUAUAUUAAAUCAUCAUCUUAGAUCAUAUACAAUAUAUUAUGAUUUGAGAUUACCAUAAACGUUAAUAUCAGUAUUAUUUAAAUACCGUCUGGAUUUAGACUCUGAGUGAGGAUUUUUUCGUUUUGAAACUCCUUUUAUGGAGUUAAAAAUCAGGGUUUUAAUAAAUGUUUAUAAAACUACCUAUAUAGCGACUAAAAUGUAAUUUGUAUCCGUUUAUUUUUUUAUAAAAUGUAUAAUUAUUCAACAUUUGUUAGUCGCUGUUUACAUAAUAGUAUAGAUAUUGAUUUUAACUAAUAUCCAUAAACUUCGUUUACUUUUAAUAAUAUCUUUAUGCAAUAUUUUGCAUAAAAAUAUUAUGAAUACUUAUAUACGUUCGUAUAAUGUAUGUUUAAUACUUUACUAAAUUGUAUGUUCUGGCCCUGGUAAAAAUACCAAGAUUUUUCUUUGUCAUGGUAUAACUUAAAUAAGAUGCGGACUUGUCACACGAUGAUACGUUUUUUGAAACAUUUUUCAAAAUUCCUAAUAGAUCCUUAAUCCCAGACAUUUUUUUUUAAAUUUUUUUUUUUUAUUAAUACUUUUGGUUAACUUAAUAAUACAAUUUUUUUACGUAGUACCUCAAAAGAUGUGAAAUUUCUGCCCAGUAGUACUUUAUUUGACUCUUUGAGACAUUGUGGUAUUAUAGUUAAACAACCUAAAUUUGUUUCUUUUUUGUAUGUAAUAACAGUGCUAACUUUUAAUAUUUUUCAAGAAAAAAAAUUUUCAAAAAUAAUGUGUUCCGAAGGGUUAAAACAAAAAGUAUAGAUUAUUAACAGUUUUUAUAUACAAUUUAAAACAACUCAGGAAAGCUGUAGUUAUAGUAAUUUAGACGAUAAACUGUAAUUUUAUGUACAAUUUUGAAAGAAAUUGGUAACUAAGACACUAAGUAUACUUUUUGAGUGUAGAAACUUAAAUAAAUUGGAUAUCUUAAUUUGCAUAUAUUUGACAGGAUAUUGUUAAAUUCUUAAAGUACUUUUAUUUUAAUAACUAUUUCUUUAAUAUUAACUGAUAUGCAUUUACAUUAAAUACUCAUAUUUCAAUUAAUAAUAAUAAUACAAAUUUUAUGAAAAUAUUUCUCUUCUUGUCAAUCAAAUCAACAAUCGUAACUAUGUAUUCGCUAACUACAGACGGACAUAUUAUACAAUUGCCGAAACAUAAUAUAUAAGAUGUUUUAAACUUAUUUUUAUAAACCUAAAACUCAAAAUAUUAGACAUUUAACAUCGAUACUUUUUUUUUUUUUAUUGUUGAUUUCUGAGUUAACUUGAACAAAAAAACAACUUAUACUACUGUAAUACUACUCCGUUCAGAAUCGUUGUUUCGUUUGCAACGAUUUUUUGUUGUACACAGUAUAUUAAAACUUACUUGCUCUUUAUAUUCUACCUUUCCAACUAUCCACCUACAACAAUUGCCUUUCCUUGAGCAGUAUCAAUUUUUAGUAUUAUUAUUUGCCCCCAACUUUAGUUUUUACAUUAUUCUUAAAUGUGUAAUUUAAGCUUACGCUCAAUUCUAGUAGGUAAAUGAUCGAACGAGUACGAAUAUUAAAAAAGAGUCACGCUACAUGUUCGUGAACUUAAUGAUAGGUAUGAUAAUAUUAUGGGCUGUGGGCACUAACAUUAAAAUAAAAACACCGCUGGUAUAGUGUUAGCGGUUUGUUUCUCUUUAUUUAGCAGUUUUUUCCACUACCUUUGCCACGUCCGCUCCUCGAAACGACUGCUGUUUUUUUUUCUUUUCCUCUAACGCGCCGCGGUCACGUAAACGUCCGACAUACCGCUAUUACCUCUUCGCGGUAAAAGUGUACAAAAUAAUAUUUUAUACGGGUGGGGAAAAAAACGGAGACAGUAGCCAAGUCCAAAUGUAUAAUGCAUAAGCGUUUUGUGUAUGCGCCGAAAUAAUAGCCGGAUAAAGUCGGCGAAAGCUUUCGGAAGCUUAAAACUUUUGCCCUGAAAGUUAUUGUUCAACUUCUCGAACGUUCAAAAGAAGUAAAAUACGAAAGAAGAAUACGGUGAGGGCACACACACACACAAAUAUAUACAAACACACACACACACCAGAAUGGGAUAGAGGAUGAGACGAAAAUGUCAUCUUUGGCAGUGGAAGCUUGCGUUAUCCUAUCUUAUUUUUUUGUAACUAUACAACUCGACCGACCAAAAAAGUCCAAGGUAUACGCACACCGCUUUAACGGUUUGUGAACAGAGGGGAAAAAUAAAUAAACCUUUUUGAUAUAAUAUUAUCUGCAUGUGCCUGCGACUAUGAUCAUAAUUAAAUCCGGACGGUAUUCAUUCGAGAGAGGACAUCUUCAACGAUUUUGAUUAAUUUUCAGGAGAAAACAGAAGGUAUAAUACAAUAUAAAGAAGAGACAAUAAGAGCCUGACAUAAAAUCCGAGAAACUUUAUAAAUCAUCAUUAAAAAAAAAAAUGAUGACUAUAUAUUGAAUCCUGUUUUAUAUUCGACUCCUGUCAAGUAUUUUAUUUUAUUCCUUUUAUUUGGAUGAACUUGUACGUUGUAUACGCCUAAUACUAUGAGUAGGUACUUAUAUAAAAUAUAGUGGCGAAUUUUUUUUAAAAAAAAAAAACACCAUUUCCUUCAUUUUAUAUUAUAUAGUAAUUUAUUAUUGAAUUAUUAUUAUUUUUAGGUUUUUAGCAAAGCGAAGAAUAUAUUGGUUUUACAAUGAUGUUUUUUUACUAUUUUUUUUUUUUAUACUGUGUACAAAAUUUUCCCUAGAAAACUUGCUCCAAUAAAAACAUAACAGGGACCUUUAUUUUAUCAUUUUGGCUCUAGUUGGUACUUGAUACUUUAGAAAGGUCAUUAUUUUCAAUUCUCAUUAAUAAUUGUGAUAGUAAAUAAAAUCUGGUUCUUUUGGUUAAAAAAAAAUAUAAGAUAUUAAAAUAAGGUUGUCAUUGGUUACCUUUUUAUUUAUUUUUUAUUAUUAUUAAGUUUAUAUAAUUUCAGACUUUUAAUUGUUUUUAAAUAAUUGUUGUUGUCAUAAUAAUGCACGCUGUUGAAAAAACAAUACUGUUGAUCAAACACUAUUCAGAAUAGCAUUUUCGUUGGAAAUGAUUAAUUAGAGACCCACUGUUAGAAUCGGAACUAACUAUAUUAGGCACAUUAACGAGACAAAAUAAUAAUUUUGAAGGGGCUGUGUGUGACCUGUUUUCUUACCCGAAAACAUACUUUAAUGCUUUACAUAUAGUUAUCUAUAUUGCAUCUAAGAGUUUUUUUUUUUCUAUAGGUCUUACGUUAUAUACCUUACAGUAUGCAUUGGAUUUGGAUUCUAAAAAUUACAUUUCCAAACACUGUAAUUAGAAUUAGAAUACGAAAUGUUUUUAAUACUUUUUCUUAUGAUUUUUGGUUACAUAAUCAAAAAUUGUUGUUCAAUAUAGCUUAUUCUAUUAAUUCUAUUAGUUGUUCUAUUUCCAAUAAAAUAAAAGUUAUCGAAACUAGUCAUUUCUACGGGGAAAAAUAAGGUGCGCAGGUCAAUUAAUAUAAAAUCUAAAAUUGUCUAUAAUUGCAAUAUACAUUCUGCAACUAUACAUUAGACGUUUUAAUUCGUAAGAAAAUCUCAUAUUUCGAAAUGGGAGCUAUAUUUAUGUAAAAAUUGUCAUUAAAAAAUGAAAAAAAAAACAUAUUUAUUUUUUAAAAUUUCAGUGUCUUUUAUACCUAAUCACACAGAAACACAUUUGAUCUUUUAAGUUUUUCUUUUUUAAUAUUUAAUAAAUAUGUACCUAUUCGUUAUAAAUGUCAAUAAUAAUAAUAUUUUUUAUUCGAACAAAUAAAUACUAUAACCAAAUCGUUUGAUAUAAAAAUUUACUUAUUACCGUUAUCGUUAUAACGCUAUACUGAGAAGAACCAAAAAUUAAAAUUAUCAUAUUGAUAAAACUAUCUCGUCGCUGAUAAAUAAUUUAUAAAAAUGCAGGUAUAUUUUACUAUAUAGGGGUUCGGAAAUCGCGCCUAUCGACUUAUUCCGAAAACGAUGUGUUUAAAUGGCUACUCCAUAUUCAUGUUAUCUCAUUUCCAUAAAGACGGCGGUGCGACAAGAAAGAUGACAAUAUUCAUUAAGUGCGACGGUUCAAUUCCCACCCAAAGAAUAGGUAUGAUUACUAAAAAGCCUUAACCGAUACGGCAGCGAAAAUAGUCAGAUUAUUUUAAUUUAUUUAUUGCGUUUAAACCUUUUUGUUUUGUUUUUUACAUUCACCUGACAAUAUAAUAAUAUUGGAACGUUGCGGACGAUAAAAAUUAUGUAAUAAUUGAAUCAUUAAUGUGCAUUAGAUUAAGGGAGUUGAUAUUAUGUGCUGAUAUAAAUUUACAAUGUAUGCAAUAUUACGCAGUAUGUAUAACUCUACGGUUGUAAAAUUAAUAUUCAUGUCCAGACAAUUAAUACAAGACUCACCAUAAUUUCUUGGAAUAUUCUCUAAAAGCCAAACGGUUUCGUUUCGCGUUUCACAUGUUUCAAAAUGUAGACGUAUUACUAGACGUUAUUUUGUUACAGUCAUUUAUUAGAUAAUUGUUAAAGGAAAAUCGAAGGUUUCGAAUUCAUUAAAAAUAAUACGGUUCGAAUGUUGCGGUACAAUUAUAAUAAACGGAUUUUACCGAUCGUUAAACGAAUUGCAAAAAUUUAAAUUUGCAUCGUUAUGAAAACGUUUUUCGUAUUUUUGGUCAAACAGUAAAUUCGAUUCGGAGUAAUUCACGUAAUUGUAGGAGAUAAGUUUCUUUAAAAAAUGAAUUAUUUGAAAUUGAAUUAUAAGGUUAUUUAUUGAUACAAAAAGAAAAGUUGAUGAAUUUAUUUAUCGAAAUGCAUUUUGUUCUCAAUUACAAAAAAAAAGAAAAGAAAAACGUUUUUUUUUAUCAUAAAUAAUACAAUAUAACAAGAAUUAUUAAACAAAUAUUAUCAUUUUUGACAUUCACGAAACACGAUAAAAGAAAUUUGAAAGAGGACAAGAGGUUGUGAAAACGCCUGUACUUCGUAGUGGUGUAAGUGCACCCGGGAGUUAAUAUAAAUGUCAACUACUGUAGGUAAUAAAUUUCUAUGUAGUCAUCUCUACAUUAAAUCUCGUUUUAAGUACCAACGUAACCCGGAAUGUACGACUUGUUAUUUGUGCGUUUAUAGACAGCAAGGCUUACAAAUACACCAACGUCGCUUACUCCGUAAACAAUUUAGUAUAGAGUUCAGAGUUUUUAUUUUUUGAAUUUGACUCAUUUUUCAUUUUUGCUACCUAUCAUGUAUAUUAUAGAUUGGUAGGUAUGCUAUACAUUGUAUUUUAUUUCAAAUUUAAUACCUAAAAUUAGUUUAAAACUAUAUUAUCAACAAGGUAAAUAAAUUAUAUUUAUAAAACUACAUAAUAUAAGCUUAGUAAGGAUGUGACAUAAAUCCGGACUGUCCGAAAAUCAGAAAAUUCGGAUUUCGGAUUUCAAAGUUCGAAAAUACAAGUUUCAUACAAUCAUAUUCCGAAAAUUCUAAUUUUAGAUUUCAAAAUUAGAUCUUAUGAUUUUUUUUAAAAAUCUAUUUUAUACAUUUUUGUACUUAAUUCUUCACUGUGGUCAUAAUCUAAAACGUAUAUUACAACAAUAUUUUAUUUUUAUUUGAUUAUAAUAUGUAGUUUUAGGUAAUGUAAAUAGCUUAGUAAAUAUUAAUAAUUAGGUCAUUAUGUGUUUACACCACAAUAAUUAAAUAAUCAUUAGAAAUAAGAAAAAUGUUUUAGCCAAGCAAUUUUUAGUAGAACGUAGACGUAAACGAUUUGUAUUAUAAAAAUAUGGAAGAGUAAAUAAAUUGGGAUCUUCUGUUGUGAUCGUGCGACGCGAUCACUACUGGACAAUUUUGUUAAAGUUCCACUUUUCAAAUAAUUGUAUUUUUAUUUUGUGUUGUUAACGUUGAAGUUAUCAUUUAUCCUAUACGCAUACGACAAAGUUAUUAAUUUCAUGUAAACAUAUAAUAACUUACCUAUUUACAUUUACUAAACUGCUGAUAUUGUCUAAUACUACAUGGCUUAGUGUGACUAUAAUAAAUUACUAUAUGAUUUUCAGAUAAUUCAUAAUAUUAUUAUAUUAUAUUCCUAUUAUAUGUAUAUUCAAUAAAUGAGUAUUUAUGAUUAAUUUUUGAAUUUAAUACAAAUUAUCUAAAAGAAUGCAAAAUCUAAAACUCAGAUUUUAAAUACAUUUGUGACUUCGGAUUUCGGAUUCCGAAAAUCCGGCUUAUCAUACUUGAGCAAACCUGGAUUUUUCUCACCACUACCUUGGUGCCAUAGGCGUAACUAAAUUACCAGCUUUGAGGGCGCUAAAAUUAUGAACACAUCAAUGACUCGUGAGAGCUAUGCUUCCGCAGUUCCCUUUACACGACUAAAACAAUAAGCAAUUACUUAUUUAAUUUAAAAAUUUGUAUACACAAAUUUAUCAUAAGUAUUUUAAUAUUAUUUUUUAUACUUACAUGCAUUGUCUGUGGAAAUCUAUAUUUUGUUCUGCCAAUUAAUUAUGAAACACAUGGAUAAAAUAUUUAGUCGGUACUAUGAAAAAGCUUAUUGGGUUUUUUUGGGGCUGCUAAUAUUAAACUUGGGAGUGCUAAAGAUCUCCAACACCCCUCUAGUUACACCUAUACUUAGUACAUUUUUAUAAUACCUCAAUGAUAAAAUAGGUUUUUUUACGUUACGCUUCAUAUUUUUUUCAUUACAAUGACAUUUACUGAAUUUGCUCGUUGUUUAUCAAUUUACACUUUGAUCUCAGGCAAAUAAAGGAACUUGUUCUAUUACCCCCAACAGAACAUACAUUGACUGAUUAAUCUACCAUGCAGGGUUUCUCACCGAAAUAUUUACUAUCUCUCCAUUUACGACAUUGAAUAAUUAAUUGACUACGCUAUGUUUUGUAAAGUUUUUGUUUUUUUCGCAAAAAUUAUAUUAAAUGAACAUUAUGAAUUUUCACGAUUAGAUUUGAAAUGUAUACGUCAUCAGUUAAUUUAAACCGGUAACGCAAAUGUAUACUCUGCUUUGGUGAAUAAAUCUAUAGAAGAUUACCAUCCAAAAUUAAGUGACUUUUUAUCUUUCUUUAUUAUUUUAUAAUGUACAUUUGUUUGAAAUAUAAACUCGGUUUUUAAUCUUUACUACGAUAUACACGGCUUUCAGGUUAAAUAAUAGAUAGAUAAAUUAUUAAUUUAAAAACAUCAUUACUCGUAAGGCUUCGACAGUUUAUAGUAUUAUGUGGAUAGCAUCACGAUUUUUGAUCUUGCACUUAUCUAACGGAACGAGAAGUUUAGAAAUCAUGCAUUUUGUAUACGCUCUCUUUCUCUUAAUAUUUGAUUGUCUGUAUGUCUCAUGUCUCAUGUCUUUUUAUUCGAUUUGAAAACGUAUUUUCCGGACUGUAUGGCUACUUAGGUUACCUGGUUUCAAACCGUUAUACCGCUAGGCAUUACGUCAUUUUACCCGAAAUUUUGGAAAACCAUACAUAUUGCUAAAAUUAAAUUGAAUACAGAAAAUAUAUAAUUUCGUGAUUAGGUAACUUAAGUAAAUAAGAAGAGGAAUAUUUAUAAAUGUCUUAAGGGACCUUGUCACUAAUAUUUUUGUCUCCGCAGUUUGUCUCGCGUGUAAUUUGACCAUAAAUGCAUUCAUUUUAAUGAUUGCGAGUUUGAGACUCUGGUUGAGUUUAGAGCAAUAGGUGUAAUCCAAAACUAUAAAAUAUAAAUAGAACAGAUAUUUCACUACAGGUACCAUUAGUUAUGGUGAUAUAUGAAAUUUUGCUAGGCGUUAUAGUAUUUUAUACUGUUUAAUUUCGAAGUUUCAAAGAAUACAGAUAAAUUCAUUAAACUAAUAAUAAUAAAUUUAUGAGAGUCAUUUUUUGAUGUAUUGUUUACUCGGUAUUCACAGCAUACUGUUUGGCAAACAUUUUUUCUGAUUACCAGUAUAACAGUAUUAACUGCAUACUGAAAAUACUGUUAGCCUUAACUUGGCUAGUUAAGGAUCAUUUGUAGGCUAUUAUUGUUCCACUAGUCCUAUUAGGUUUAUAAUAUAUAUACAUAGUAAUUAUAGUCUAGUUUAACCACAUUUUACUUUAUUUUUGUUGAUUAACUUACCAUGUAAUACUUAAUUUAUUCGCUUAUCACAAACGAUCUUUUAGUCGCUAUAUAAUUCAUUAAAAAUACAAAUUAAAUGUAUUAUGAAUUUUGAUCACCAAUACAUAUUGUUUCAUUUUCGUUAUUAAAAGUAUACUCUUUUUUCACAAGCAUGAAUUUAUUAUUUUAUCAAACAAAAUAAUAUCGGAAAUUAGAAGAAUUGUUAAAAUUUUUACUAUGAUCUUUGUGAAUAACUUUCGAAGGUCUGUUUACUUCAUCUAUUUAAUAUUGUUUCGUAUCUUUUCGUUUGGACAUCAUUUGUUAAAUAUUUCGUUGGAAGCAAUUAAAAUAGUAAAUAGGUCUUUCAAUAGGUAGUUUUAUUACAUUGUGUUUAAUAAAUUAUAUUUCAAAAAUUAAUUUACAUUAAAGCUGUAAACAAAAAAAGUACUAUGAACAUUGGUGUAGAAUGCAUAUCAUAUCUUUACAAAAACAUUAUUAAAAAUUGUACGAACACAUUUUUAAUUAAAAGUACCUAAAUGAGUUUGUCAAAUAUACUUCAUAGUCCAUAUUAAUGAAAUACACGAGUUGAAUGGCUACACUGUAUAAUAAGAACGUUCCCGCUUAGUUUUUUGAAUUAGUGGUCAUGAAUGAAUUUCUGUGGAUUUGAUAAAUUAAUAAAAUGCCGCGGUGUUUGGUGUUUGAAAGGACAAUAUUUCACUUGUCAUUAAUAUAGUCUAAGCUAAAUUAAAUCAUAUUUAGGCGUGAUUCGACAGGAAUUUAAUUUGAACGUAUAUCAAUGAUUUAUUUGGUAAUUCAGAUAUUAGAUUUAACUCGAAGCAUAAAUAUAUAAUUUUGCUAUUUUUUUUCAUUUUAUUUUGUAAAACUGUAUGCUUAUAUAUUUUAUAUAAAAUAUAAAUAUCAGAAUUCGUUUAUACAUGUUUUAAUUAAAACGUUUACUCCAUGUUCGAACAUUGAACAUGGAGUAUAAUUUAUGUAAUUAUGCACGCCAAUGAGUUUAUAAUAAUAAUAAACUUUUAAACCAUAUCUAACUUGAACGUGUCUUUGAUGCGGAUUUCAGUAUGACAAUCAAAAAAUGAAAACAAAAUAUAUAUAAAGUAAAUUUGUAAAGAUGGAUAAAGAUAAAAGCUUUUCUGGUAAAUAAGAUUUAUUAAAAAAAUACGCAUGAAAGAGUCGACGUAUCACGUAACUACUUUUAAAAAUUUUAAAUGAUCCAAGAAACAUUAUUAUUAUUAUUAUUGUUUUAAAAAAGCUGAUGUGUGCGUCACUCUUGUAGGUGGAAUAUUGAGAAUUAAAGAUACAUACAAUUAUUUAAUUUAUAUCGAAACGAUAAAGCAUUUCUAACGAAAUAUGACUCUGGUAUAUUCUACAUGUUUUGAAAUUUCACAAUUUUCAUGAUUUUUAUCAAAAUUUAAUCUUAAAAUUAUUAUAAAAAAAAUGUACGCAUUAUGCUGAACUUUUUUUUUACAACUUAAGCUUAACCUUUAAUAAUGUUUGAAUUAAAUUUUCAAGGAUUUCUUUUUGUCAAGCAAUUUUGUCCACAUGGUACCUACCAAAUUAAAACGGCUUAAAGUAAAAUGCUUAUAAAUAGAUCGAAUCACCAGAAUAUUUUAAUAUUCAUGGCUAUAAAACCACUUGUAGAAAAAUCGAAUAUAAUUAAUUAUGUACAAAUUUCAGAUAUUUUUAAUCGAAUUACAACAAAGCAAAAAAAAAACAAUUUAAAAAUAAUGAAGUCGUUAUUUCCGUAGAAUUUCUUGUUUUUCCUACGUUUUUCCGGAUUUUGCUCCAUUACGUAUUAAGAAAACUAUACAGAAAAAAAAAAUUCUCACUCACUAUCUAGAUUUAAAAACAACAACGAGUAUACUUUAAUUGAAUAGCCCAAAGAAUAUUACUGUUGUAACAUUAAUAUGUUGCCGUUGUAAUAAUUAAAUUUCUAAAUAUAAAUAAAUUAAAACUCAUUGAAGUCAUAAUUUUGUUAUAGGUGUAUCCAGAAUCAGCAUGCAUUUUUCAUGUGCGGAAACAGUGUGUUUGCUGUUGACUUUAUCUUUUAUCAACAAUGCUACUUCUAACGG